UGAGCAACCUGCCCUUAGCUCUGGGAUAACCCCGGGAAACCGGGGCUAAUACCGGAUAUGAGUCCGAGCGGCAUCACGCGGACUGGAAAGUUUUUCGGCUAAGGAUGGGCUCGCGGCCUAUCAGCUUGUUGGUGGGGUAAUGGCUCACCAAGGCGACGACGGGUAGCCGGCCUGAGAGGGCGACCGGCCACACUGGGACUGAGAUACGGCCCAGACUCCUACGGGAGGCA
rnacentral:rRNA from 1 species